UGAAUGUGUAUCUGAAUGUGCCUGUAAGUAGACAGUUGCCUUUUAUUCCUAUACUUGUAGAAAGAAAUGAUGGAACUGUUCUGGAAGCCUUAGUGUGUUUUUGUUAACUUUUGCUAAAAGUCUUAUCUAAACUGGGUGGUACUCUAUUAGAAGAAUCAUAACAUGUUAGAAGGAUAUGAUGAGGAUAAGCUGACAUAGUUUUCAGACAAUUCAGUUGUUUGUACAUCUUAGAGAUCUGUGGAUGGAAAAGAUGGAACUUUCCCUUGCUUUAUAGGAACUGCAGAACUUGUGCCAAAAGAACUUAUAGAGGUUUAUGUAACUGAUGGUGCGAAUGAUAUUCAUCAUCAGUUGCCAGAGAUAUAAAUAAUGAAAUUAUUAUGCAUGUGACUCCCUGCAGUGAAUGUUAAAUCUGUGUAAAUGUGAGUAUCUGUUGACUGACUGACAAGUGCCUCUACCUUUUCUAUUCAUGGAUUGCACAAUGAAGUGACUCAGAUUGUCCAGCAAAGUGCUCCGUGCCAGAGGGAAUUUGCUUGGUACAUGCAAGCUAAUUGAUUAAAUCACCUCCUUGACAAGCCAAGGAGUGCUGGUUAGCUGAAGUACCAGUUAACUGGAUAAGUAAGGACAAGAAAUAGAAAAUAUUGACUACAAGGACUUGAUACUAUAUAUUUGCACCAUAAAUACACACUAUAGUGUCUGUGUGUAUAUACAUAUGCUAUAACAUAAAUCUUAUAUGGUUUGUGGUUUUCUGUAUCCUGAGCAAUUUCAGACAGAUGGGCCUUGUUUUCCAUCUGUUCUUCACAAUGAUUGCACAUUAAUUUAUUUCUUUCAAAAUACAGACCUGGCUAUGAGUGUCUGUCCUUUGGAAUUACUGGAAUUUGAGUGCCUGUCCUUUGGAAUUAGUGGAAUUCUUACUGGGGUUUCCUCUCGGGUCCAUCUGAAAAGCCAGUGCGGAAACAGUCUGCCACAAAGGCAGUAUGCCAUCCCAGACUCAGCACCCCAAUGCCUGAGCACCUCCAUCCAACAGUUCACAUUGCCCCCUGCUUAUCCCUAAAUGAAAUUUGAUAGAUUUAACCUGGGACUAUCCCAAAAUAGUUUGGGAUGUGAUUAUCAGAGGCCACUCCCUGUGUGAUACUGCUGAAGAUGGUAGCAAUUGGCUGUCUUAAAGCUCUCAACUCUUUCCUUUAAAAGAAGGGGUUGUGGUGGCAGAUGAUUCUCCCUGCAUUGUCCUCAGUCCUGUGGUCUGGUACAGUAAGAGUCUUCUCUUCAGUCUUCAGAGGAGAGGUAUGAAAAUAAAUAUGUUGUGAUUACUCUUUGUUGAGGAGGGGCUUUGUUGGGCAGAGAUAGAUGUAGCUAAAUCUGGUUAAAUGUUGAGAUUUUAUGAUUUGAGAACUAUGCCUAUGUUAAAUACACAUUUCCUUCCAGUACUUUGUUUUUGUUCUAUACAUGGACUGUGUUCCUUUCACCUUUGGAUUCCACACAUGAAGUGUGUUUCUUUCAUCUCUCAAUAAAAGUCAGUUAAAAUUAAAAAGGAAAUACUAUCAUACUAAAAGGCAAAGGUGUUCUGUGGGGUUGCUUGAACUCUUAUAAAAAUUUAAGUCAAUGUUAUAAUUUUGCAGUUUGCUUAAAUUGUUAUCAUAACUGAAAAUAUUUUAGAGUUUUGAGGUGUAUUAUUACUUCUGGUAAUGAAACAGCAAAUAAGCAAAACCAAACAUCUGUUGGACCACGGCGUUUGCACAGAGAGUUUCUGGAUAAAACUUAACGUAUUUAUUAACAUGUGGUCUAGGGAAUAUGAAAACAUUGUCUGCUGGCACCAAAUCAUUUUCUUUUGUUGACUGUCAGGAGGGAACAUAAGGCACUUCUCAAAAUUGUGACUAAGAUCUUAAUAAGUAGCUCCAAAAGUGGGGGUAUCUGUGCCUGUAAUUAAGUGAGCUGAUCAGGUUUUCCAAAGUGCUAAGAUGCAGUGAUGUCUGCUGAAUCACCAAGAGGCACUGAGAGCAUUACAUAUUUUGUGAAAAAAUAGGCUACUUAUUUCACUAGCGAGAGGUGGGAGGGGAAAUGACAGCCUAAAAAUUCAAUGUCACAUUGCUUUCGACAGGGUUUGUCUGGAUGGAUGUAUCCCAAGUGCUUUCCCCAGUCUCUGUGGCAGGGAAUAGGCUGACUUUUCUCCUCUACCCCAUGAACUGUAUUUUUGUAACAGUCUGUGCAGAAUGAGUGCUCUCUUCCAUGGUUGCUGAGCCUUCCACUUUCUUCACUCUAGAGGGAAAGCUGGUGUCUAGGGUGGAGGGGAAAGGAGUACAACCACCAAGUGACAUAGCAUGAACUUUGCUAUCAUUAUAAAUAUUUAUUAACAGGUCCUGUAAAAAAUGAGGAAGAUGCUGAAGAUUUGCUGUUCUCUCCUUCUCUUAAGUUUGCUCAGUGGGCAAUUCAAUGCCAACCCUGGACUCAAAGUGAGGAUCACCCAGAAGGGCUUGGAGUAUGCCAAGGAGGUUGGGUUUGAAAUCCUGAAGCAGAAUAUGGAAAAGGAGCGUUUCCCUGAUUUGACUGGCCAUGAGAAAUUUGGGCUUGGUAAUGUCAAAUACAACAUCUCUGGAAUACAUGUCACUGCUGUUGAAUUACCCAGUGCUUCCAUCUCCCUCCUACCUGGGUCUGGGAUAAAACUGGUGAUAGGAAAUGCUUCUCUAACCAUCGACAUGAACUGGAACAUAAGGACCUGGAUGUUCAAAGAUAGUGGAAGAAGCACAGUGCACAUUUCAAAGGUGUUUGUCACUGCAAUCUUUUCAACUCCUCGGGAUAAUACAAGUCCUACGUUAAUAUCCCUUACCAGCUGCCGGACAACUUCUGGUGACAUAGAUAUCAAGCUGAAUGGAAAAAGCGGCUUCCUGCAUAACUUCUUUAUCAAGUAUCUGAAGAAACCUAUUCACAGGAGCUUGGUCACUAAUUCAUGUCCCAAUAUCAGAGCUGGGAUCCAUUUGAUAGAUGAAGACCUCCGAUCGCUGAAUGUUGUAAUGCCAAUUGAUGAUUUGGCUGAAGUAGACUACUCCUUAAGUAGCUUGCCAGCAGUAUUCCAACCAUUCAUUGACCUGGACUUAAAGGGCACAGUCUUCCCAGCUGGAAACUAUACUGGCUCUCCCUACGUGGUAGCUCCCUUCACUGUCACAGACCAAAGAGACUCCAUGCUCUUCCUGGCCUUCUCUGAGUAUUUUUUUCAGACCUCCUCAUUUGCUUACUACACCGCAGGGGCCUUCAACAUGACCAUUGCAGAGGAGACCUGCAGCUAUUUUAAUAUAAGCACAGAGAUAUUUAGCAGUAUCAUCCCUGAGGUCGCCAAAUACUCAGUUACACCCUAUCCAGUAAUGUUGAAGCUAAUGGCUACUGAAAUACCUGUCAUCAGCUUAGAGCAGGAUUCCUUCACAGUAGAAAUUCAGGGCUCCAUGGAGGUGUUGGCUGUUCUGCCAGACUCAACCACCCAGUCGCUGUUCACAAUGAACGUAGCAGCCAACAGCAGCAUUUCUCUGAAUGUAUUUGAUCAGAAAUUGAUGGGCUCACUAUGUUUGAACAGGCUCCAGUUCUCCCUAGCCCACUCCAAUGUUGGCUUUUUUGAGCCACCUCUCUGCUGUGGACUUAGAAGUAUAUUCUUUGGGACAAGUUAGUGCUCUGCAAAUGAGACAUGCUGUAGUUCCCCAAACUGCAGAAAGCAGAGAUCUCUCCAAUCACCACGGUGAAACACAGAGCGGUAAUCUAAGCUUUGGCAGCAGAGCAGUGUGCCAUCUAAUGGUCACAUGGAUGGCUGAGGCACAGGCACUCCAUGUGCUGCAGUGGUGCUCAUCACAGAUGCUCGGGAUUACAAUAGGGAGGGGGAGCCAAGAUACUUAUCUCAGAUGCCUGAAAUAGUGCAGUUGUAGCUUGGCAGGGGAAAACCCUGCCUCCGCAGAGAGUCGUUUUAUUCUCAGCAUAAUCAAUCAGUUCCGAGUAGCUGAGGAGAAAGGAUUAAAACUGUUCUGGUCCUGCUUUGCUAUUGGUGAUAAAUUAUCUCACAAAUAAAGGAAAUAGACUGUUUUAAACGAAAACGUUGGCUAAGCAUGUUGAAAUACAUUUGCAUUUUGCAUCUCACUUCCUUUGCAUCAUUCCAAAGCCUUAAGAUCCAAAGUUCACUUGGGUUUAUGACUCUUUGAGGCCAAAAGAGAUGAAAGUUGAACAUGAGCCUACUAAUUCCACCCAGGAUUAGGGCACGACAGUUCUACCAUCAUCAGGAAGUGAUGGCUAAUUCAGUUUUCUUGUCUGUGGCAGAUCUCGCUUCUGGAGAACAUCCUGUCUUACAUUUUACAGACUGAAGUAAUUCCAUCAGCUAACGCCAAACUCUCAAAAGGAUUCCCUCUUCCCAAUCU